rnacentral:rRNA from 1 species
CACGUAGGGGGCGAGCGUUGUCCGGAUUUAUUGGGCGGAAAGAGCUCGUAGGCGGCUUGGUAAGUCAGGUGUGAAACCCCCGGGCUCAACCCGGGGACGCCACCUGAUACUGCUAUGGCUUGAGUCCGGUAGGGGAGCGUGGAAUUCCUGGUGUAGCGGUGAAAUGCGCAGAUAUCAGGAGGAACACCAGCGGCGAAGGCGGCGCUCUGGGCCGGUACUGACGCUGAGGAGCGAAAGCCAGGGGAGCGAACGGG